AGAGUUUGAUCAUGGCUCAGGAUGAACGCUAGCUACAGGCUUAACACAUGCAAGUCGAGGGGAAACGACAUCGAAAGCUUGCUUUUGAUGGGCGUCGACCGGCGCACGGGUGAGUAACGCGUAUCCAACCUGCUCACCACUUGGGGAUAACCUUGCGAGAGUAAGACUAAUACCCAAUGACGUCUCUAGAAGACAUCUGAAAGAGAUUAAAGAUUUAUCGGUGAUGGAUGGGGAUGCGUCUGAUUAGCUUGUUGGCGGGGUAACGGCCCACCAAGGCGACGAUCAGUAGGGGUUCUGAGAGGAAGGUCCCCCACAUUGGAACUGAGACACGGUCCAAACUCCUACGGGAGCA
rnacentral:rRNA from 1 species